GAUAAACGCUGGCGGCGUGCAUAACACAUGCAAGUCGAACGAAGUGGCGAACGGGUGAAUAACACGUAAGUAACCUGCCUUACACAAUGGGAUAGCCUUUGGAAACGAAGAAUAAUACCCUAUAGUGUAAGAUGGACUUGCGUCUGAUUAGCUAGUUGGUGAGAUAAAAGCCCACCAAGGCGACGACAAGUAGCCGACUUGAGAGAGUGUACGGCCACAUGGGGAGUGAGACACGGCCCAAAUGCGACGUGAGGCAGAAGUGGGGAAUGUUGCACAAUGGGGGAAACCCUGAUGCAGCGACGCCGAGUGAUUUAGAAGGCCUUCGGGUGGUAAAAAUCUUUUUUAUGGGAUGCAGUACCAUAAGAAUAAGGUCCGGCUAAAUACGUGCGAGCAGCCGGGGUAUUC
rnacentral:rRNA from 1 species